AAAUCCGUCGACUUUAAAAAUCGUGAGGGUUCAAGUCCCUCUAUCC
rnacentral:tRNA from 1 species